UACGUAGGGGUGCAAGCGUUUAAUCGGAAUUACUGGGCGUAAAGCGUGCGCAGGCGGUUUUGUAAGUCUGUCGUGAAAUCCCCGGGCUCAACCUGGGAAUUGCGAUGGAGACUGCAAGGCUAGAAUCUGGCAGAGGGGGGUAGAAUUCCACGUGUAGCAGUGAAAUGCGUAGAGAGUGUGGAGGAACACCGAUGGCGAAGGCAGCCCCCUGGGUCAAGA
rnacentral:rRNA from 1 species